rnacentral:rRNA from 1 species
AGUUUGAUCCUGGCUCAGAUUGAACGCUGGCGGAAUGCUUUACACAUGCAAGUCGAACGGUAGAGGGGGCAACCCUUGAGAGUGGCGAACGGGUAGAGUAAAUAUAUCGGAACGUGCCCAGUCGUGGGGGAUAACGUAGCAAAGUUACGCUAAUACCGCAUACGAUCUAAGGAUGAAAGCGGGGGAUCGCAAGACCUCGCGCGAUUGGAGCGGCCGAUAUCAGAUUAGGUAGUUGGUGGGGUAAAGGCUCACCAAGCCAACGAUCUGUAGCUGGUCUGAGAGGACGACCAGGCCACACUGGAACUGAGACACGGUCCAGACUCCUACGGGAGGCAGCAGUGGGGAAUUUUGGACAAUGGACGCAAGUCUGAUCCAGCCAUUCCGCGUGCAGGAUGAAGGCCCUCGGGUUGUAAACUGCUUUUGUACGGAACGAAAAGGUUUCCAUUAAUACUGGGAGCUCAUGACGGUACCGUAAGAAUAAGCACCGGCUAACUACGUG